rnacentral:rRNA from 1 species
CCUACGGGAGGCAGCAGUAGGGAAUUUUCCACAAUGGGCGAAAGCCUGAUGGAGCAAUACCGCGUGCAGGAUGAAGGCCUUCGGGUCGUAAACUGCUUUUAUGUGCGAAGAAUUUGACGGUAACACAUGAAUAAGGAUCGGCUAACUACGUGCCAGCAGCCGCGGUCAUACGUAGGAUCCAAGCGUUAUCCGGAAUUACUGGGCGUAAAGAGUUGCGUAGGUGGCAUUAUAAGUGGAGCGUGAAAGCGUGCGGCUCAACCGCAUUAUUGCGUUCCAAACUGCGAAGCUUGAGUAUGGGAGAGGUAGAUGGAAUUUCUAGUGUAGGAGUGAAAUCCGUAGAUAUUAGAAGGAACACCGAUGGCGUAGGCAGUCUACUGGCCCAUUACUGACACUAAGGCACGAAAGCGUGGGGAGCAAACGGGAUUAGAUACCCCGGUAGUCCACGCUGUAAACUAUGGAUGCUAGCUGUGACACACAUCGACCUGUGUCGUAGCGAAGUUAACGCGUUAAGCAUCCCGCUGGGGAGUACGUCGCAGAUAAACUACAAGAAGUAGAGCGUGAGAGUGCGACGACGACGACGAGGGAGAGG